UCUUUAAGGUUUGAUGGGUGGCCCAUAUGGUACUAGGUGAUACCUAAGUAAAAAUUGCACCGUAUGAACUCCACAGAACGAUCCUUUGAAUCCUGUAUCCUUAAUGGUUUCAAACACCUCUCUCUCUUAUCUGGUAAUGCCUUGUUGUAAUGGUUGAAUAUUAACUAACAACAUCAUGCUACCAAUGACUGCUUUGAUCCUAACAAUGCUCGGAGCAUUGAGUUCUUGAGUCUUGACACAAUAAGGCAAGAGAUAGGUUUUAUACCAAGGAAGCUGGCAGAUCUUCAAGUCGCAAGUAUCUUAUGCUAUCUCUUGUUGAAAUCUGUUUGUCUUGUGAAAAUCCUCAGGUCCUCCUCUGUUUUAGGUUACUCUAAAUAGCCAGGCUACUUUUGCAUCAUUAGAUUUUUGGGUGAUGGCUUCAUUAACGAGGAUAAUUCCAUCCACCUACCUUGGCAAUGCCCAUCUGGUAUUUGCACAUUGACUUUAGGAUCACCUUCUCCCUUUGGGAGUCUGGGUAGUGGGUAAUGCUUCAGGAAAUUUGACAAAGAGACCAGAAAAAACUACUGAGAGUCACUAAGGAUGCCCGAUGUAAUUUUCUUGGAAAUAAUGCAAGGGAGGUUGUUUCAAUGUGUUUGGUUAAGAAUUGAUAUAACUGAAUGCGUUCUUAUAAAUCUGGAACCAAUUUUGUCAUUAAAAUAAUAAAAUAGAAUUUCCCCUUCCUGUAGUGGUUAAGAUGAUUCUAUGAAAAUGGGAUGAAGAGAAGUGGCUCAUUGGUACGAGCAUCAUAUGGACGAGUUGAUGGAGAAACUUCUUAUAAGGUCCACUUGGCAUGCGUCAUCCAGAUGUGCGGAUAGUGGUGUUUGGGUAUAGUUAUAUUAUGAUGAUUAAAGUUAUGACUCUUUGAAAAACAAUUACGGUUAUGAUGACAAUGAAUAUAUGGUGUUUGGUAGUGCAACUACCUAUCCAUAUAAGCAUGUGUGGAUAGUGCAAAGCUUUUUAAUACUGGAUACUUUCUCACGUGUCUGCAUGUGUGGGAGGAUGAGUGCAAUUUUUUGGUCAUGCUCCGCCAUUUUGUAUGGUCCUGAUGUCCUGAUUGUCUUAUAAUCAUGACACGUCCAGUUUUUAAGUGCAUGUGCAUCAACCAUCCUACUCCAACCAUUGUAUUCCCUUUCCUUGUAAAAUCGAAAUCUACAGUGACUUGCAUAGGCGGAAUGUGGUAGGUGUAUAGAGGUGCCUACUCCAGUACUGCUGAUUUGGGGGGUAAUAAUUUGUGUAUAGAAGGCCCACAGCAUACAUCAGAUGAGCAACCCCAUGUUUUGUACUGAUCCCAAAAGUAAAGACCAAUCGAAACCCAUAAGGACCAAAUCAAAGGGAACAGUGUGCAAUCGUGCCUAUCUAAAUUCACAUGGUGGGCCCACCUUAAUUUUGGAAUAUCUUGAUUUUUUGAGUGUCCUUCGAUCUUAGUAGUACACAUCAAAUGAAUGAAUUAGAUGGCAAAUGCAUGCCACAGUGGGCCUCGCACAAGUAAUGGUAGGCAUGACCACCCCAACUCUUCUCUGUGGUCCAGUCCACUUGAGUUUUGGAUGAGCCUGGUUUUUUGGGCUGCAUGGUUAACAUGAUUCUGCACACCUGAUAAACAGUGUGGAUCUCAUGUACAUUACCUCCCUUCACAUGGCUAUGCAAGGCAUGCUAAAUGGACUUAUCAAAAUAGCUGGAUUGGCUUUUUUCUUUGAAUCCAGCAGUCAGCAUGGUGCAGCUAUUAACACCGGAGAAAAUAGGCGUGAAGUAGUGCUAUUUUGCUAACUACGCUAAGAGAAUAGUGUAUUAAGGCACCAAAACAAAAUUAUAUAUGCAGAUGGCCCUAUGUUUGUGCUAACAGCACUAUAAUGCACACUAAACGGGCCCAUAAAGUAUAACUAGAAAGUUCUCAGUAUGUUAUAUGAUUUGCCUUUUUCAAAUGUCGAUGUUUAUCUUCUUUUGAUUCUUUUUUAUCUUUAUCAAUAUUCUAACAGUCAUGGGGUACUUCAAUCCUUAAUGACUUUGGUCCUUGGAGGAUGGUUUCUGAUAGUUUGGGUACAUUAGAGGACGGCGAUUCUUUUCUACUCGCUGGUCUGCUUAGUUUUCCGUGGAAGGAUGUUGCCGUGUGUAGAUGUCAAUUUUGGGAAGUACUUUACCUCUUUGGUCUGAUGAUGCUGACCAUAAGAAAUUACUUGCUAAUAUGUAUCACGAUGAUAUUGGAUAAUACAAUGCAUUUCCGAGCUUGCAGGGAGGAUGCCUAAUUUACUUCAUUUGCAUCUCGCACAGCGACGAAAACAAACAAAGCAUCAGAUUUUGCAGUUGGUGGCACUUGUCAAGCUGUUGCAUUUUCAUAUGGAAGCACCUGUGCUUCUGGUGGAAUGAAGAAUUCUGAUCCUGGGUUGGAAUUUACUGGUUUCCAUCCACCAUUCCCUGUGCCUGAAAGCCUAGUAAACAACCUGAUUGCUACUAAUGCCUCUUCAAGCUGGUCAUAUGAUAAUAUUCCAAGACAAGUGUGUUAUUCUAAGGCUUACUAUGUCUAAGUUUCAGAUGCUUGGAGCAGCAAUGAAGUUCUGACCUAAGGUUGCCAUUUGUGGGACCUAGUUUCCUUGUUUCAUGACCAAAAAGGACAGUGCAGGUGGGAUUAGAAUGAUAGAAUUGGAUCACUCUAUGAAGAGAUGUCAUCUGGACGAUCAGUUUAGUGCAAUUGGGAUGAACUAUUCUUUCCUUCUACAGAGCAGGUGCACCAGAUCAUUACAAGAACUGCUACAUUUGUCAGUGAACAUGGAGGACAGUCAGAAAUUGUCUUGAGGGUGAAACAGGGAGACAACCCAACAUUUGGGUUUCUGAUUCCUCACCACCAUCUUCAUGUUUACUUCAGAUUCCUUGUUGAACACCAGGAACUUUUGAAAGCGGAAACAGAUCUUAAACCUCCAGAUGAAGAGAAGGUUGAGAGUGGACAGAAUCAAGCAGGUGGUAUUGCAGGUGGGGCGUUGUCACUGCUCAGAUCCAUAUAUGGAUCUGGUGAGGAUGAGGAUGGUGCACUUCAAAUUGUGUCAGAAUCUAAAGAAACGGAGCCUGGUAAUUCUGUUGAUGCUGUCAAUAUUCUCUUCUCACAUGGAUCAAAUCAAGCAGAAUCUUCUACCUAUUUGGCUGUGGAAAAUGAGGCAGCUAUCAAGCACCUCUCUGUUGCUUCCAAUAAAAAAGCCUCAUCACCCAAAAGGAGUCCUUGUGUUACUGCAGUCUCUGUUGGUACUAAUAGCAAGAAAAGAGAAACUGAAACCUUUGGUUCAAUUCAUUUUUCUGUGGAUAAGCUGCAUACUCCUAUGUUGAGCAUGUCUGACGUUGAAGAACCUUUCAUUUUGGAGCCUCCAUCGUCCAUAAAACAAGCUGUAGACAAAAUAGCUUAAUUUAUUCUGAGAAAUGGGAGAGGGUUUGAAGCAGUCCUUGAAAUUCAUGUGGUCU